rnacentral:rRNA from 1 species
UAGGGAAUCUUCGGCAAUGGACGAAAGUCUGACCGAGCAACGCCGCGUGAGUGAAGAAGGUUUUCGGAUCGUAAAACUCUGUUGGUAGAGAAGAACGUUGGUGAGAGUGGAAAGCUCAUCAAGUGACGGUAACUACCCAGAAAGGGACGGCUAACUACGUGCCAGCAGCCGCGGUAAUACGUAGGUCCCGAGCGUUGUCCGGAUUUAUUGGGCGUAAAGCGAGCGCAGGUGGUUUACUAAGUCUGGUGUAAAAGGCAGUGGCUUAACCAUUGUAUGCAUUGGAAACUGGUAGACUUGAGUGCAGGAGAGGAGAGUGGAAUUCCAUGUGUAGCGGUGAAAUGCGUAGAUAUAUGGAGGAACACCGGUGGCGAAAGCGGCUCUCUGGCCUGUAACUGACACUGAGGCUCGAAAGCGUGGGGAGCAAACA